rnacentral:rRNA from 1 species
GAUGAACGCUAGCUACAGGCUUAACACAUGCAAGUCGAGGGGAAACGACAUCGAAAGCUUGCUUUUGGUGGGCGUCGACCGGCGCACGGGUGAGUAACGCGUAUCCAACCUGCCCACCACUUGGGGAUAACCUUGCGAAAGUAAGACUAAUACCCAAUGAUAUCCCACGAAGGCAUCCGAAUGGGAUUAAAGAUUUAUCGGUGAUGGAUGGGGAUGCGUCUGAUUAGCUUGUUGGCGGGGUAACGGCCCACCAAGGCAACGAUCAGUAGGGGUUCUGAGAGGAAGGUCCCCCACAUUGGAACUGAGACACGGUCCAAACUCCUACGGGAGGCAGCAGUGAGGAAUAUUGGUCAAUGGGCGAGAGCCUGAACCAGCCAAGUAGCAUGCAGGACGACGGCCCUAUGGGUUGUAAACUGCUUUUAUAAGGGAAUAAAGUGAGUCUCGUGAGACUUUUUGCAUGUACCUUAUGAAUAAGGACCGGCUAAUUCCGUG